AGCGGAGGAAAAGAAACCAACUGGGAUUACCUUAGUAACGGCGAGUGAGCGGUAAAAGCUCAAAUUUGAAAUCUGGUACUUUCAGUGCCCGAGUUGUAAUUUGUAGAAUUUGUCUUUGAUUAGGUCCUUGUCUAUGUUCCUUGGAACAGGACGUCAUAGAGGGUGAGAAUCCCGUUUGGCGAGGAUACCUUUUCUCUGUAAGACUUUUUCGAAGAGUCGAGUUGUUUGGGAAUGCAGCUCAAAGUGGGUGGUAAAUUCCAUCUAAAGCUAAAUAUUGGCGAGAGACCGAUAGCGAACAAGUACAGUGAUGGAAAGAUGAAAAGAACUUUGAAAAGAGAGUGAAAAAGUACGUGAAAUUGUUGAAAGGGAAGGGCAUUUGAUCAGACAUGGUGUUUUUUGCAUGCACUCGCCUCUCGUGGGCUUGGGCCUCUCAAAAAUUUCACUGGGCCAACAUCAAUUCUGGCAGCAGGAUAAAUCAUUAAGAAUGUAGCUACUUCGGUAGUGUUAUAGCUUUUUGGAAUACUGUUAGCCGGGAUUGAGGACUGCGCUUCGGCAAGGAUGUUGGCAUAAUGGUUAAAUGCCGCCCGUCUG
rnacentral:rRNA from 1 species